GUACUCCCUUGGGCAGCACAUAUACUAAAAUGGUAACGAUACAGAGAAAAUUAGUACGGUCCCUGCACAAAGACACACAAAACACGGCUCCUGAAUUCAACUUGCUU